UGUCAAUUUUAAGAAGUAACUAAAAUCGGAUGCUACAAAGAAUGGGAAUGUGGCAGAAAACUAAAGAAUUCAUGGCCUAUUGGUAUCUGCAGUAUAUCAUGAACACUGCCCUGUAUAUGCUGGAGCCUUGGGAGAGGAAGCUUUUCAAUUCUGGUUUGAUGGUUGUAAUUGCCAUGUCCUUGUACACUACAUCUUGCUUCCUACCAGGACAUUUUCUGAUGCUGUGGAAAUAUAUUCUCUAUCUCGUAGGACUGGAAUCACAAGAAACAACUCUUGGUGGCAUGGAAACAUUAAAUGAUACCCCAGUGACAUCAUAGCAAAAGGUUUCUGUCUGGAUUAAGAAAAAAUUUAUUAAAACUGGUGAUGAAAAUAGUAUGGAUACAUGGAUACAAAGCACAAUAAAAGGUUUCAGAACAGGAUGGAUGAAAGUACAGCAAAAAAAAUCCAAAAUGUCUCUGUUCAAGUGGGCAAAGAAGAACUAUUUGGUCCAGGUGUGAUAAUGAGCAGGGAAUGUGCCUGUUGAAUGAGGGCCAUACAUAUAGAAUGUGGUAUCACAUUGCUUCACAUUGCCUGAGGGAAACCUGUUGCUUUGUCAGCGUGGCCAUUGAGAUAUAGAGGUAUCAGUAUUCCCAGUAUAUAUUCAAGACCAGCCAGGGACAGACUUGAAUGUAACUACACUGAUAGUUCAGGAAGAAGCGCAUUGAAAAAAUGCUCUACAGUGGUUACUAACAUAGUUACUUAGAUAUACUUUCAACUGCUUCAGGCUCUGAGGUUUUCAUUUUGAUGUCAUAUAUAUAGGAUUUGAUAUAGGUAAAGUGGAACUCUUUUAUGCUUGGUUAAACUCAAACCAUGAAAGUACUCCUGCUGUAAUCAGUAGAUAUAUUUUUCUUUGAAAAAUAAGCAAGGACUAUAUAUCACUGUGUAACGAUUAUGGAGGAUUUGAUUACUAGUAAUUGUCUAUGAACUGAAUAGUCAAUAUGUAUGUAAAUGGCUAUACCUAUUUUGGUCCUGCUAUAAAUGGACAUGUUUCAGCAUUUUGCUUUUGACAAUGGAUAAUGGUAUUUACACCCAAGAAGAGUUGACAUCUCAUUGUCA